GCUUAAGAUUUUGGUUUACGAAAACACAAACAGUGCUCAAUACCAUAUAGAUAGAGCGUAAUAUAGUUUUUCGUUUUACCUCAAAAAAACAACAACAGUCUGUUGCAUCCGUAUAGGAAUCAUCAGGUGGUGAGUAAUUUCGAAAUUGUAGGUUUGGUAAAAGCAACGAAAACUUACGUUUUACGCGUUUUACGAAAACUAUCAGGCAUAAAUCUAAUACAUGUACAAGUUGGUGCAUGAAAGCUUUAAAUUGAUCAUAUAUUUAAUUUACACAACACGCAAAUCAAUUAAACGUUCAUCAAUCUUUAAAAUCUGAUAAAAAAUGAACGGUUAAUAUCACAAACGUUCAAGUCUUUGGGAAUAGUUUUCGUGUAUAGGAAAACGAAACGUUAGACAAAACGUAUUUAAUUUUGUAAUAAUCUAGAAGAACAAAUAAAACAAACAAAAUUCAUCAAUCUUGUUGGUAAGUCCACAAAUGUUUCCCAUGCAUUUAUCCUUUUUCCAGACUUAUAUGAAUCAGAUGUAUUUUAUAAGCCAGCUAGACUAAAUAUAGGGACAGGUUUAUAAAAAUACUCAGCGGUUGCUGUAAUAAAAUAUAUGCAAUAUACUCGCCACAUACUCGCCACAUUUGGCUGAUUUUCAAUCCUUAAUCUAUAAAACGACGGACGUGUUAUACGUGUCCGACAAACAUUGAUAAUUUAAGCUGGGCCAACUUUAGCAUGGGAAAAGACGGUUUUUCAAGGUCUUCAAUACCUUUUUCCCCUCUCUGCGUAAAACGUCAUUCUUCCAGAAAAAGACCAAACAGUUGCAUGUAGCAUUCAUAGAAGCUACCGUGCCAUUCCAAAAUCUAGCCAUCCUCGAUUUUUCCGACUCGUGUUCUGCCGUCGAUUUCUCAAGUAGAUCAACCACAAUGAAGACGAACGUUGGAAUGUACAAUGCCAGGCAGGCAACUGCCAACAAACAGGUAUUAAUCUUCUUUAUAUUAACAUGCACGGUUGCCUCGGAUGAUGCGGCGUUGUCGCGUCGCAUUUUUCU